AUAAGUUUGGCUGUAGUGGAGGCAUUUUUACUGAGCGGCAGGUCCUGGACGGAGACUACGUUUAAAGAUGGAGGACGGCACCAGAGGAACUGCGGCUGAGCAGACCUCACAGAAAGAGGGAGACUGUUCCAGAACCUAGGAGCUGCAGCUGAAAAAGCUCUGUCUCCCCUGGUCACGAGCCGAGUCCAGGGAACAUCUAAGAGCUGUUGUUCUGGAGACCUUAGAGAUCUACUGGGGAUGUGUGGAUGUGAAAGCUUGUUGAGGAAACUGUAAAUCAAGAAGACCUUGGUCUAUUUUUCUCCAGCAUGGACAACCUGGGUCAUUCCCGUGACUCUUUGGUGCUUUUAGAAAGGCAAGUUUUGCAAUACUUUAAAAUAGGCUGGAGCAGUCCUGCCAACAACAGCGCUUGGACUUGGAUCAUAUUGAGUUUCUAUGUGAAUGCAUUGACUCUAAAGCAACUUCCUGUAAAGGAUUAAUAAAGCUAUAUUCUAUUCUAAUUUGUUCUCUUUGUGCACAUAUUAAUUUUCCUCUGCUGGUAGCAAAGCAGAAGCAAAGAAGAGGGAGAGUGAGAGAGUAAGUUCAAACCAUCUCUUCCAUCAAUUAAAAGUUUUAUUAAUAUGAUCUUUCUGUGAGGUCUGCUGGAACUUUAAAUUAUUUCAAAUCUCUUAAAAACUCAUCUUUUUAACCUAGCUUUUAAUUCCAGAGAGCACGAGCAUUAGGCCUGUCUUUGUUGUCCUUUAUGCAUUUUAUUGCUGAUUUUAUUGCUUAUAUUUUUAACCCUUUUAGUGCUUAUGGUUUUUUUUUUAUUAAAUUGUUGUCUUUAUUUCUAUUUUAUCUGUUAUUUACAUGUAUGGCACUUUGGUUUGUGUGCUUUAUAAAUAUUAAAGUGCCUGUGACAUUGAAUGUUCAUGAUAAAUCCAAUUACAUUUAUGGAAAGGAAACAUUGAAAAAAUAUUUUAUAAAGUAUCUUCAUGCCACUGAAAUGAACAGUUUUUGUGAUAUAUGGUCAUAAAUUUCAGUAAAAAGACAUGUCCAGACUACUCCUUUGCGCUCUUUUAUUACGUCAAAGGGGAACCCCCGCAUGUAAACUGACUGCUGCUACAAUGGCAGCAACAUAGACAUCAGUCAAGAGAAGAAAGUCAGUUGUCAUCAGAUGGCAGAGCACAAGUACAGCCGACCAACAGCUGCUUUCGUAAUAUUGCUGCCACCACCAGCUAUGCCCUGUUCCACCAUAUUACCUGUAACCACUUAUCAUUGACGCUCACACAAUGAAUGACCGGAGACUUCCCCUUUGAAAUCAUGUCCGGCCGACUUUGGACUUGCAAAACUUAACACCGAAAUAUGCUUAUAUUAUCUGAUUGAAUAUUAUUUUUAUUUAAGGCCAUUUCAAAAUAAAACUCAAUAACGGGUGUAGUGUUUGUUCCAUUUUUGCAGUUGUCUGGUUUGUAAACUAUCCAAUGCGGUACCAAGCAAAUUUAUGAGUUCCACAAAUUACGGGCAUCCCUCUCAUUUUCCACCAAAUCUAGAAGAGUGUUUUGUUUUUGCAGAAAGCAUAAAUACACAGGCCUUAACAACUCCAAAACAGUAUUUUAUUCAUUUAGGGAGUAUGAACAGAUUUCAAAUCAUACAGCAAAGGAUGCCUUAAGCAGUGAGUACUUAAAUUAUUUAAUGUAACCAAAAAAGAAAAGAAAGAAAGCACCAGGUGUUUUAAAAGCAAAGUCUUUUGCAGAGUUUCAGGGAUGGUCAUGACAAACAAGCAAUAACUUUAGUAGAGGCACCUGCAUAUCAGUAGCAAUGCAGUUAGUCAUGUAAAUUAAUAUAAUAGAUUUUAUUUGUCACAUCAACUUGGUUGUCUCAAAGUUAUGUGAGCAGUGGGUUUACUAAAGGUUCAAAUGUUCAGGUGGACUCAAAAGUCAUGGUGGAAGGAAAUGAUAUGAAACAUUGAAAACAUUAAAGACCAGUCUGAUUGUCAACCUUUUCUACUGUGCUUCUUCACAAUGUGGAUGUCGCUACAAGUUAAAUAAUAAUUUCAGACAUGUGGAAAAAUACUUCUGUGGAGCAAGUGUGUCUCAACUAAUGCAUGUCACAGUGUGUGAAAAGGCAGCAGAGCAUGAAGUCUUCACCACCCACUUCCCCUUCUGCCAGAGGAGAGGCCGCAGACAGAGACAGAGCUUCAGAUAAAAAUCUUGUUUCAUCGCAUUGCUCAAAAAGAGUCAAAUUUUCUUUGUAGAACCUCAACAUUCAAUGUAAUUAAGGGCCAUAUUGAGAGGCAGGCAGUGAAAUGCCAUCCAACCUAAAGCUUGCUUUAGCUGUGAUCUCAGCACAGACUGGAUCCUCUCUUUCCUGAGCGUCACAUCUAAACUUCAUGGGCUUUUUUAUUUUUUGCAUAAUAUCUUUUAUUGGAAGCCACACUGUGUUUC